GGGACUUUUUCUAGUCCCUACACAAAAAAGUCCCUGGAACAAACACCCCGUAGGGCGAGGCGAUUGGUUCGGUGGCGGCAGCCAUGGACGCCACCGGCGAUUUUCCUUGUGUGCAGCUUGCCGGUCUUCCAGUUGGGGGCGUCGCCCCACGGCUCUGUUCAUGAUGAGGGGAGCGAGAUCGAUGGCUAUGGGGGCGCCGGACUGUGAGAUCGUUGGUGUCUGCUCACGACAGCUAUGGCGACCCUGGUGGCGAGGGGAGCAGAGACAACGCUCCUGCUGAGUCCGGCGAGUCAGCGGUCAACCUGGAUCCGAAGGCGCUGGGGUGGAUUAGAAGUUGCAGGGCUCUUCAAAAUCCAUGCCAGAUGAUUCAACAUCUUGGAGAUAUUCAAAACAAGAAGAAAUGGCUCAUGUCGCCUAUGAUUAGAACAUGUAGCGUUAUCGAGUACAUGUUGACUACUCGUAAAGUCGUAAUAGCAAUCUUUAUGUCCGGUGUAAAUUCGUCGGAAAUAUUAGCAUUGUUAGAUGUACUCAGUUUCUUUGUUCACAGUUUUUUGGUCAUUUUUGUUGUUUAUUAAUGAAGCAAGUGAUGUGAUGUUCUCCUCUGAAGCAAAAAUUGUGCUGCAGUCUGGUUGAUU